rnacentral:rRNA from 1 species
UUAAGUUAUUAAGGGCGCACGGUGGAUGCCUUGGCACUAGAAGCCGAUGAAGGACGUUACUAACGACGAUAUGCUUUGGGGAGCUGUAAGUAAGCUUUGAUCCAGAGAUUUCCGAAUGGGGAAACCCAGCAUGAGUUAUGUCAUGUUAUCGAUAUGUGAAUACAUAGCAUAUCAGAAGGCACACCCGGAGAACUGAAACAUCUUAGUACCCGGAGGAAGAGAAAGAAAAUUCGAUUCCCUUAGUAGCGGCGAGCGAAACGGGAAGAGCCCAAACCAACAAGCUUGCUUGUUGGGGUUGUAGGACACUCUGUACGGAGUUACAAAGGACGACAUUAGACGAAUCAUCUGGAAAGAUGAAUCAAAGAAGGUAAUAAUCCUGUAGUCGAAAAUGUUGUCUCUCUUGAGUGGAUCCUGAGUACGACGGAGCACGUGAAAUUCCGUCGGAAUCUGGGAGGACCAUCUCCUAAGGCUAAAUACUCUCUAGUGACCGAUAGUGAACCAGUACCGUGAGGGAAAGGUGAAAAGCACCCCGGAAGGGGAGUGAAAUAGAACCUGAAACCGUGUGCUUACAAGUAGUCAGAGCCCGUUAAUGGGUGAUGGCGUGCCUUUUGUAGAAUGAACCGGCGAGUUACGAUUUGAUGCAAGGUUAAGCAGUAAAUGUGGAGCCGUAGCGAAAGCGAGUCUGAAUAGGGCGUUUAGUAUUUGGUCGUAGACCCGAAACCAGGUGAUCUACCCUUGGUCAGGUUGAAGUUCAGGUAACACUGAAUGGAGGACCGAACCGACUUACGUUGAAAAGUGAGCGGAUGAACUGAGGGUAGCGGAGAAAUUCCAAUCGAACCUGGAGAUAGCUGGUUCUCUCCGAAAUAGCUUUAGGGCUAGCCUCAAGUGAUGAUUAUUGGAGGUAGAGCACUGUUUGGACGAGGGGCCCCUCUCGGGUUACCGUAUUCAGACAAACUCCGAAUGCCAAUUAAUUUAACUUGGGAGUCAGAACAUGGGUGAUAAGGUCCGUGUUCGAAAGGGAAACAGCCCAGACCACCAGCUAAGGUCCCAAAAUAUAUGUUAAGUGGAAAAGGAUGUGGCGUUGCCCAGACAACUAGGAUGUUGGCUUAGAAGCAGCCAUCAUUUAAAGAGUGCGUAAUAGCUCACUAGUCGAGUGACACUGCGCCGAAAAUGUACCGGGGCUAAACAUAUUACCGAAGCUGUGGAUUGUCCUUUGGACAAUGGUAGGAGAGCGUUCUAAGGGCGUUGAAGCAUGAUCGUAAGGACAUGUGGAGCGCUUAGAAGUGAGAAUGCCGGUGUGAGUAGCGAAAGACGGGUGAGAAUCCCGUCCACCGAUUGACUAAGGUUUCCAGAGGAAGGCUCGUCCGCUCUGGGUUAGUCGGGUCCUAAGCUGAGGCCGACAGGCGUAGGCGAUGGAUAACAGGUUGAUAUUCCUGUACCACCUAUAAUCGUUUUAAUCGAUGGGGGGACGCAGUAGGAUAGGCGAAGCGUGCGAUUGGAUUGCACGUCUAAGCAGUAAGGCUGAGUAUUAGGCAAAUCCGGUACUCGUUAAGGCUGAGCUGUGAUGGGGAGAAGACAUUGAGUCUUCGAGUCGUUGAUUUCACACUGCCGAGAAAAGCCUCUAGAUAGAAAAUAGGUGCCCGUACCGCAAACCGACACAGGUAGUCAAGAUGAGAAUUCUAAGGUGAGCGAGCGAACUCUCGUUAAGGAACUCGGCAAAAUGACCCCGUAACUUCGGGAGAAGGGGUGCUCUUUAGGGUUAACGCCCAGAAGAGCCGCAGUGAAUAGGCCCAAGCGACUGUUUAUCAAAAACACAGGUCUCUGCUAAACCGUAAGGUGAUGUAUAGGGGCUGACGCCUGCCCGGUGCUGGAAGGUUAAGAGGAGUGGUUAGCUUCUGCGAAGCUACGAAUCGAAGCCCCAGUAAACGGCGGCCGUAACUAUAACGGUCCUAAGGUAGCGAAAUUCCUUAACGAGAGUUCGCUCGCUCACCUUAGAAUUCUCAUCUUGACUACCUGUGUCGGUUUGCGGUACGGGCACCUAUUUUCUAUCUAGAGGCUUUUCUCGGCAGUGUGAAAUCAACGACUCGAAGACACAAUGUCUUCUCCCCAUCACAGCUCAGCCUUAACGAGUACCGGAUUUGCCUAAUACUCAGCCUUAUUGCUUAGACGUGCAAUCCAAUCGCACGCUUCGCCUAUCCUACUGCGUCCCCCCAUCGAUUAAAACGAUUAUAGGUGGUACAGGAAUAUCAACCUGUUAUCCAUCGCCUACGCCUGUCGGCCUCAGCUUAGGACCCGACUAACCCAGAGCGGACGAGCCUUCCUCUGGAAACCUUAGUCAAUCGGUGGACGGGAUUCUCACCCGUCUUUCGCUACUCACACCGGCAUUCUCACUUCUAAGCGCUCCACAUGUCCUGAGAAGCUAACUGCCUCUAAUUUAUUAUUAC